CGUAGGUCCGAGCGUUGUCCGGAAUUAUUGGGCGUAAAGGGCUUGUAGGCGGUUUGUCACGUCGAAGUGAAACUCAGAGCUUAACUCUGAGCCUGCUUCCGAUACGGGCAAACUAGAGGGAUGCAGGGGAGAACGGAAUUCCUGGUGGAGCGGUGGAAUGCGCAGAUAUCAGGAGGAACACCGGUGGCGAAGGCGGUUCUCUGGGGCAUUUCCUGACGCUGAGAAGCGAAAGCGUGGGAGCAAACAGGCUU
rnacentral:rRNA from 1 species